rnacentral:rRNA from 1 species
GAGUUUGAUCGUGGCUCAGAACGAACGCUGGCGGCAGGCUUAACACAUGCAAGUCGAGCGCCUGUAGCAAUACAGGAGCGGCAGACGGGUGAGUAACACGUGGGAACGUGCCCAAAGGUACGGAACAACUCCGGGAAACUGGAGCUAAUACCGUAUGUGCCCGAGAGGGGAAAGAUUUAUCGCCUUUGGAUCGGCCCGCGUCUGAUUAGCUAGUUGGUGGGGUAAUGGCCUACCAAGGCGACGAUCAGUAGCUGGUCUGAGAGGAUGGCCAGCCACACUGGGACUGAGACACGGCCCAGACUCCUACGGGAGGCAGCAGUGGGGAAUAUUGGACAAUGGGCGAAAGCCUGAUCCAGCCAUGCCGCGUGAGUGAUGAAGGCCUUAGGGUUGUAAAGCUCUUUCGCCAGGGACGAUAAUGACGGUACCUGGAUAAGAAGCCCCGGCUAACUUCGUGCCAGCAGCCGCCGU